rnacentral:rRNA from 1 species
UACGUAGGGUGCAAGCGUUAAUCGGAAUUACUGGGCGUAAAGCGUGCGCAGGCGGUCCGCUAAGACCGAUGUGAAAUCCCCGGGCUUAACCUGGGAACUGCAUUGGUGACUGGCGGGCUGGAGUAUGGCAGAGGGGGGUAGAAUUCCACGUGUAGCAGUGAAAUGCGUAGAGAUGUGGAGGGAUACCGAUGGCGAAGGCAGCCCCCUGGGCCAAUACUGACGCUCAUGCACGAAAGCGUGGGGAGCAAACAGG